GUGGGAUUUGUUGCAUCAUGUGUGGAUUUGACUUUGAGUCCUUAUUAGAUUAUUAUUUUGUGUUUGCAGACCCUUAAGAGCCUUUGAGAGGUGCAUUUUGUGAAAGAAGGAUAGAUGUGAGGCUCCAUCUGGUGGAAAAAGAGUUUUGUGUGAAGAUGGGGCAAAGUUGGGCAAAGAACAAGUGAAGUAGAAGUAUGCCUGUGGGGGACAUGAAGUACUUAUUUCCCAAAAUCGAAGUGGAUUUGAUGUCAACUUUGCAAGUUAAGAAUCUAUUUCCAUCUCUGUGGUCGGAAAGUAUCAGCGUCACCGGAGAAGACUUCAGUGUGCGUCGUUCGGAGCAAUUGGGCUUUGAUAAUGUAUUAUUUGGGUCAAGAUGUGAAGUGUUGUCUGUUUGAUGGCUAGAACGUAGUAGAGCAUUGGGGCUGAUGUCACUGUGUUUUGGUAGAUUCCUGAGCAAUUAUAUCAUGAAAUGGCAUCAGUGUCAUUUCUGUUAGUUGAAUUGGAGAGGGUGGGUUCAUUUGUGUGGUCAGUUAAAGGAACAUCACCAUAUAAGUACUUGCACAACAUGUAAUUGUUUCCUGAAAGGAGUGGUUUGUUUGCCACUUGGAAUGUUCUAGCCAUCAAAGUUGCAAGACGACACAGUUGAGGGUUGUAUCAUCUAUUGGGGCAUCCUGAAGUGUUUGUGAAUUCUGUUCAUAAUGUUGUGUGUGCUGUAUU